UACGAAGGGUGCAAGCGUUACUCGGAAUUACUGGGCGUAAAGCGUGCGUAGGUGGUUCGUUAAGUCUGCUGUGAAAGCCCCGGGCUCAACCUGGGAAUGGCAGUGGAUACUGGCGAGCUAGAGUGCGGUAGAGGGUAGUGGAAUUCCCGGUGUAGCGGUGAAAUGCGUAGAGAUCGGGAGGAACACCAGUGGCGAAGGCGGCUCCCUGGACCAGCACUGACACUCAGGCACGAAAGCGUGGGGAGCAAACAGG
rnacentral:rRNA from 1 species